CAGCUCCAAUAGCGUAUAUUAAAGUUGUUGUGGUUAAAAAGCUCGUAGUCGAACCUUGGGCCUGGCUGGCCGGUCCCCCUCACCGGGUGCACUGAUCCAGCCGGGCCUUUCCCUCUGUGGAACCCCAUGGCCUUCACUGGCUGUGCGGGGGAAACAGGACUUUUACUGUGAAAAAAUUAGAGUGCUCCAGGCAGGCCUAUGCUCGAAUACAUUAGCAUGGAAUAAUAGAAUAGGACGUGUGGUUCUAUUUUGUUGGUUUCUAGGACCGCCGUAAUGAUUAAUAGGGACAGUCGGGGGCAUCAGUAUUCAGUUGUCAGAGGUGAAAUUCUUGGAUCUACUGAAGACUAACUACUGCGAAAGCAUUUGCCAAGGAUGUUUUCAUUGAUAAGGAACGAAAGUUAGGGGAUCGAAGACGAUCAGAUACCGUCGUAGUCUUAACUAUAAACUAUGCCGACUAGGGAUCGGACGAUGUUAUUAUUUGACGCGUUCGGCACCUUUCGAGAAAUCAAAGUGCUUGGGCUCCAGGGGGAGUAUGGUCGCAAGGCUGAAACUUAAAGAAAUUGACGGAAGGGCACCACCAGGGGUGGAACCUGCGGCUUAAUUUGACUCAACACGGGGAAACUCACCAGGUCCAGACACAGUGAGGAUUGACAGAUUGAGAGCUCUUUCUUGAUUCUGUGGGUGGUGGUGCAUGGCCGUUCUUAGUUGGUGGAGUGAUUUGUCUGCUUAAUUGCGAUAACGAACGAGACCUUAACCUGCUAAAUAGCCCGUACUGCUCUGGCAGUUCGCUGGCUUCUUAGAGGGACUAUCGGCUCAAGCCGAUGGAAGUUUGAGGCAAUAACAGGUCUGUGAUGCCCUUAGAUGUCCUGGGCC
rnacentral:rRNA from 1 species